rnacentral:rRNA from 1 species
AGAGUUUGAUCCUGGCUCAGGAUGAACGCUGGCGGCGUGCCUAAUACAUGCAAGUCGAGCGAACGGACGAGAAGCUUGCUUCUCUGAUGUUAGCGGCGGACGGGUGAGUAACACGUGGAUAACCUACCUAUAAGACUGGGAUAACUUCGGGAAACCGGAGCUAAUACCGGAUAAUAUUUUGAACCGCAUGGUUCAAAAGUGAAAGACGGUCUUGCUGUCACUUAUAGAUGGAUCCGCGCUGCAUUAGCUAGUUGGUAAGGUAACGGCUUACCAAGGCAACGAUGCAUAGUCGACCUGAGAGGGUGAUCGGCCACACUGGAACUGAGACACGGUCCAGACUCCUACGGGAGGCAGCAGUAGGGAAUCUUCCGCAAUGGGCGAAAGCCUGACGGAGCAACGCCGCGUGAGUGAUGAAGGUCUUCGGAUCGUAAAACUCUGUUAUUAGGGAAGAACAUAUGUGUAAGUAACUGUGCACAUCUUGACGGUACCUAAUCAGAAAGCCACGGCUAACUACGUGCCAGCAGCCGCGGUAAUACGUAGGUGGCAAGCGUUAUCCGGAAUUAUUGGGCGUAAAGCGCGCGUAGGCGGUUUUUUAAGUCUGAUGUGAAAGCCCACGGCUCAACCGUGGAGGGUCAUUGGAAACUGGAAAACUUGAGUGCAGAAGAGGAAAGUGGAAUUCCAUGUGUAGCGGUGAAAUGCGCAGAGAUAUGGAGGAACACCAGUGGCGAAGGCGACUUUCUGGUCUGUAACUGACGCUGAUGUGCGAAAGCGUGGGGAUCAAACAGGAUUAGAUACCCUGGUAGUCCACGCCGUAAACGAUGAGUGCUAAGUGUUAGGGGGUUUCCGCCCCUUAGUGCUGCAGCUAACGCAUUAAGCACUCCGCCUGGGGAGUACGACCGCAAGGUUGAAACUCAAAGGAAUUGACGGGGACCCGCACAAGCGGUGGAGCAUGUGGUUUAAUUCGAAGCAACGCGAAGAACCUUACCAAAUCUUGACAUCCUUUGACAACUCUAGAGAUAGAGCCUUCCCCUUCGGGGGACAAAGUGACAGGUGGUGCAUGGUUGUCGUCAGCUCGUGUCGUGAGAUGUUGGGUUAAGUCCCGCAACGAGCGCAACCCUUAAGCUUAGUUGCCAUCAUUAAGUUGGGCACUCUAAGUUGACUGCCGGUGACAAACCGGAGGAAGGUGGGGAUGACGUCAAAUCAUCAUGCCCCUUAUGAUUUGGGCUACACACGUGCUACAAUGGACAAUACAAAGGGCAGCGAAACCGCGAGGUCAAGCAAAUCCCAUAAAGUUGUUCUCAGUUCGGAUUGUAGUCUGCAACUCGACUACAUGAAGCUGGAAUCGCUAGUAAUCGUAGAUCAGCAUGCUACGGUGAAUACGUUCCCGGGUCUUGUACACACCGCCCGUCACACCACGAGAGUUUGUAACACCCGAAGCCGGUGGAGUAACCUUUUAGGAGCUAGCCGUCGAAGGUGGGACAAAUGAUUGGGGUGAAGUCGUAACAAGGUAGCCGUAUCGGAAGGUGCGGCUGGAUCACCU